ACAUAUAUCAGGCAAGGAAAUGUCUUUCCUCUUCAGAAAUCUCUGUACACAGCUACAGUCUUCUAUCGCUGUGGGCCUCUUAAUAAUCUAAGAACAGUCAACAUUAACACAGCCCACGCCAAAUAAAUGAAAGAUACCCCACAAGCCAACCGUGACCUCUGUGAAGCCCAGACGUAAAGAGAAAGAACAAAGGCUAAACCUGGUCUUAACUUCCAAUGCUCCAUCCCCCUGCCCAACCCCCCUCCACGCCACUCCGCCAACCACCAGGAUGCCCGGCAUCAGAACAUUCCAGGCAUUCCCGUGAUUGGCAGAUAGCAGGUUGAUUGGCAUGUCGGACCCCGCGAAAACUGAGAGCCAACUGAUUCCAGGAGUCUCCUGCAGUCUCCUGUCUGAAGACCAGUUCUUGUGCUCUGUCUGUCUGGAUGUGUUCACUGAGCCAGUCACCACUCCAUAUGGACACAACUUCUGCAAGGCCUGUAUAAGACAGUACUGGAAUAGCAAUGACCUGUGUCCAAUGUGUAAGGAGAAAUUCCACAGAUAACAUGCGCUUCGCAUCAAUACUUUCAUAUCUGAGAUUGCUGCUCAGUUCAUGAAGUCAGUUGAAGGCCACCAGAAGCUGAGAUCAAUGCCCCGUUAAACCCAUUACAUGCGCUGCUGCUACUGUUUAUUAUCUAUCCUGUUGCUUAGUCACUUUACCCCUAGCAAUGUGUGCAUAUCUGCCUCAGUUACCUCAUACCCCUGCACAAUCGACCCAGUACUGGUACCUUGUGUAUAUAGCCAAGUUAUGGUUACUAAUUGUGUAUUUAUUCCUUGUGUUAUUUUUAACAAAAUACCUUUCUAUUUUUAUCUCCGCAUUGUUGGGAAGGGCUCGUAACUAAGCAUUUCACUGUUAGUCUACACCUGCUGUUUACGAAGAAUAUGACAAAUAAAAUUAGA